GACGAACGCUGGCGGCGUGCUUAACACAUGCAAGUCGAACGGAAAGGCCCUGCUUUUGUGGGGUGCUCGAGUGGCGAACGGGUGAGUAACACGUGAGUAACCUGCCCUUGACUUUGGGAUAACUUCAGGAAACUGGGGCUAAUACCGGAUAGGAGCUCCUGCUGCAUGGUGGGGGUUGGAAAGUUUCGGCGGUUGGGGAUGGACUCGCGGCUUAUCAGCUUGUUGGUGGGGUAGUGGCUUACCAAGGCUUUGACGGGUAGCCGGCCUGAGAGGGUGAACGGGCACAUUGGGACUGAGGGACGGACCAGACUCCUACGGGAGGCAGCAGUCGGGAAUCUGACACAAUGGGCGGACGCCUGAUGCAGCAGCGUCGGGUUCGGGAUGACGGCUUUCGGGUUGUAAACCGCUUUCGCCUGUGACGAAGCGUGAGUGACGGUAAUGGGUAAAGAAGCACCGGCUAACUACGUG
rnacentral:rRNA from 1 species